UACAGAGGUCUCAAGCGUUGUUCGGAUUCAUUGGGCGUAAAGGGUGCGUAGGCGGCGCGGUAAGUCGGAUGUGAAAUCUCGGAGCUUAACUUCGAAACUGCAUUCGAUACUGCCGUGCUUGAGGACUGGAGAGGAGACUGGAAUUUACGGUGUAGCGGUGAAAUGCGUAGAUAUCGUAAGGAAGACCAGUGGCGAAGGCGGGUCUCUGGGCCGUAACUGACGCUGAGGAGCGAAAGCGUGGGGAGCGAACAGG
rnacentral:rRNA from 1 species